CCUACGGGACGCAGCAGUGGGGAAUAUUGCACAAUGGGGGAAACCCUGAUGCAGCGACGCCGCGUGAGCGAAGAAGUAUCUCGGUAUGUAAAGCUCCAUCAGCAGGGAAGAAAAUGACGGUACCUGAGUAAGAAGCUCAGGCUCAAUACGUGACAGCAGCCGCGGUAAUAUGCAUGAAGCAACCGUUAUCCGGAUUUACUGGGCGUAAAGGGGGCGUAGGCGGUCUGCCAAGUCUGAUGUGAAAUACCGGGGCUCAACCCCGGGGCUGCAUUGGAAACUGGCAGGAUGGAGUGGCGGAGAGGCAGGCGGAAUGCCUGGUGUAGCGGUGAAAUGCGUAGAUAUUAGGAGGAACACCAGUGGCGAAGGCAGCCUGCUAGACGGUGACUGACGUUGAGGCUCGAAAGCGUGGGGAGCAAACAGGAUUAGAUACCCUUGUAGUC
rnacentral:rRNA from 1 species